GAGAGAAGAGAAGAGACGC
rnacentral:snRNA from 1 species